AGGGAAACCGAGUCUUAAUUGGGCGUUAAGUUGCAGGGUAUAGACCCGAAACCCGGUGAUCUAGCCAUGGGCAGGUUGAAGGUUGGGUAACACUAACUGGAGGACCGAACCGACUAAUGUUGAAAAAUUAGCGGAUGACCUGUGGCUGGGGGUGAAAGGCCAAUCAAACCGGGAGAUAGCUGGUUCUCCCCGAAAGCUAUUUAGGUAGCGCCUCGUGAAUUCAUCUCCGGGGGUAGAGCACUGUUUCGGCUAGGGGGCCAUCCCGGCUUACCAACCCGAUGCAAACUGCGAAUACCGGAGAAUGUUAUCACGGGAGACACACGGCGGGUGCUAACGUCCGUCGUGAAGAGGGAAACAACCCAGACCGCCAGCUAAGGUCCCAAAGUCAUGGUUAAGUGGGAAACGAUGUGGGAAGGCCCAGACAGCCAGGAUGUUGGCUUAGAAGCAGCCAUCAUUUAAAGAAAGCGUAAUAGCUCACUGGUCGAGUCGGCCUGCGCGGAAGAUGUAACGGGGCUAAACCAUGCACCGAAGCUGCGGCAGCGAACGUAUCACCCAAGACAA
rnacentral:rRNA from 1 species